UGCGGCAGGUGCGGGGCUGUUCCCCCCCCGCCCGGUGCCGGUGUCCGUCCCAACCCCCCCGGGCGGGGCGGGGCCGCCCCGUCACGUGGCGCCGCCGCUGCCGCGCGCACCGGGGGAGGCGGGAGCGGCGCGAGCGGAUCAUGGCAGCGCUGGCGGCCGCCUCCCCCGGUGGGGACGAGCUGGAGGAGGACGAGGAUGAGCUGGAGCCGGGGCUGGAUGAGGCGGAGGCCGAGCCGGACGGGGGCAGCGGGGCCAAGGAGGCGGGAGGCACCCGGGGGGCCGUGCUCACCCGCCGUGGCAUCACCCUCCGCGUGCUGCUCCGCGACGGGCUCCUGGAGCCGGCCCGCGGCGUCCUCUCCAUCUACUACCUGGGCAAGAAGUUUGUGGGGGACCUGGGUGCGGACGGGACCAUCACGUGGCAGGAGACGGGCCAGGUCUUCAACUCGCCCAGCGCCUGGGCCACCCACUGCAAGCGCCUGGUGAACCCCGCCAAGAAGUCGGGGUGCGGUUGGGCGUCCGUGCGCUACAAGGGCCAGAAGCUGGACCAGUACAAAGCCGCUUGGCUCCGCAAACACCAGCCCAACGCGCCGCCCGCCGAGGAGAGCCUGGCCAGCGAGGGCGAGGAGGAGGAGAUGCCCGAGGAGGAAGAGGAGGAGGCGACGAGGGAAGGUCGGGUGCCCGUGCUGGAGCCGGCAGCUGCCAAAAGAACAGAGGAGAAGAGCAAGAAGCAGCAGUGCAAGAGCCUGGCGGAGCUGGCGGGGACGGGUAAGGUGACAUGGGGGGUCCCGGGAGACCAUGGGCAGCCCGGCAGUGGUGACAGGACAUUGCGGUUUGCAGAUCACGGCCCCCCGGGGAAAAGCCUGGAGAGCAAACCCCGGGUGCCCGUCCGCUACUGCACCCUGGGGACCCGCGACUCGGCCAGGAGCCCCCAGACCCUGGUGGAGGUGACGUCCUUCGCCGCCAUCAACAAGUUCCAGCCCUUCAAUGUGGCCAUUUCCAGCAACGUCCUCCUGCUCCUGGAUUUCCACAGCCACCUGACGCGGAGCGAAGUGGUGGGGUACCUGGGUGGGCGGUGGGACACCAGCACGCAGUUGCUGACGGUGCUGCGAGCGUUCCCGUGCCGGACCCGCCUGGGCGACGCCGAAGCCGCUGGUGCCGUGGAGGAGGAGAUCUGCCAGAGCCUGUUCCUGCGGGGGCUGUCGCUGGUGGGCUGGUACCACAGCCACCCCUUUGGCCCCGCGCUGCCCUCCCUGCACGACAUCGACGCGCAGAUGGAUUAUCAGCUCAAGCUGCAGGGCAGCGGCAACGGCUUCCAGCCCUGCCUGGCGCUCAUCUGCGGACCCUACUACCACGGGAACCCUGGCGUGGAGUCCAAAAUCGCGCCCUUCUGGGUGAUGCCGCCGCCGGAGCAACGACCCAAUGACUACGGCAUCCCCAUGGAGGUGGAGGUGACCUACAUCCAGGACGGGUUCCUCACCAAUGAUGUCCUGCAGGAGAUGCACCGGUGUCUGCAGCCCCCCUUCUCUUACCCCGCCAGACGCUGCUGGUGGAGUUUUACAAGGGAGCCCCCGACCUGGUGAAGUUCCAGGAGCUGUGGAGUCAGGAUCAGACCUACCUGGACAAACUGAAGGGCUCCCUGGCCUCCCGCACCCCCAAAGACCAGAGCUUCACCCACGUCCUGGAGCAGAUCUACAGCCUCCUCAAGCUCGGCAGCUGAAGGACCAGGACCCAACAUGGACCAGGUGCCCAGGCUGGGCUCAGCAGCCCCCAGGGGCUCAACCCCCUGGCGCGGGGCAGCGCUGGGGGACGCGGCAUCGCCCACUGCUCCGGGGAGCAAAACCGAGGGGUCCCGGCCCCCCCGGCCCGGGGGUGACAGAGGGAGGGUGGUGGUGAUGGUGGGAGUUUUGGUUUUCAGUUGUUUGUGGAAGUGGUAGUUGAUUAAAGAGCAGAUCCUGA